UACAGAGGGUGCGAGCGUUUGUUCGGAAUUAUUGGGCGUAAAGCGCUUGUAGGCGGCUUGUUAAGUUCCGUGUGAAAUCCCCAGGCUUAACCUGGGAAGUGCGCGGAAAACUGGCGAGCUUGAGUGCCGGAGAGGGUCGCGGAAUUCCCGGUGUAGAGGUGAAAUUCGUAGAUAUCGGGAGGAACACCAGUGGCGAAGGCGGCGACCUGGACGGACACUGACGCUGAGACGCGAAAGCCGUGGGGAGCAAACAGGG
rnacentral:rRNA from 1 species